rnacentral:misc_RNA from 1 species
UUUCCGUAGGUGAACCUGCGGAAGGAUCAUUAAUGAGUUGUCAUGGGGUUCGAUGCUGGCAGCCAAUUUUUGGAUGCAUGUGCUUGCCCUAACAAUCAUCUUCCAAACACCUGUGCACAUUUUUGAGGGAGUCUUGAGUUGGUUGCCGCUCUUGGGUGAUUUUCUCACAUUCCCUUAAAUCAUUAUACGCUAUUAACAAUGUUGAACGUGCUCUGUGCCGCAAGGCUAAUAAUAUAAUACAACUUUUAACAACGGAUCUCUUGGCUCUC